UUUUAUGAAUGCAUAUUUUGCAAACAUUGUACUAUGUUUAAAACUCAUUGACCCAAAUUAGGUAACCUGUAUUAAUAUUUUGGGGAUUUUUAUGAAUUUAUGAAUGAACAAUAUUCAAAUCUUAGAAAAGUAUAAAGUUAUAGUCCAUUUCUUUGGGGACAACACAGAGUUAUCGCCUUAAACCUACAAUGCAUCAGUUCAUAUGGACUGUCUGUUACUGUACUGUAAUUUGCAUUAGUAAAAUAUUUUUUCCUUAGUGGAUUUGGCACCGGCUCCAGCCCAGAGGCCCUCAUCCUUGUAAAUCCGGCCCUGCUGGUGACGCAUCCACAUGGUUUCGUUCUCAGACUUUCUUCCGCUUGAAAACUUUUGAAGAACACCUUCCGAAACGUUUCACAAUUCAACAGGCGUAAAACCAGGAGGGAGAAAAAGCUGCAUUGAGCUGCAGUUAACAGCAUUUCCAUCUGUUGUAAAUGACUGCUGUUAAAACGGACUUUUUAAGGAGACGUUUGAAAGAAGACCAGAGGAAAUAAACAGCGGAGCCACGCUCAUCGCUCAGCCUCGGUGUCGUGAAGUUCCCUAAAGGCAUGUUAUUCACCUCCAGAUCAAGAGCUUGAUAAGACACAAAGCAUCUGCUCAGAUAUCAGAUGUGGCUACCUGGAGCGGAGGAGAGUCUGAAAUUAAUCCCAUUUCUCCACAGAGAGACGGGGAUAGCCUUUUUAUUUAUUUAUUUAUUUAUUUUUUAAAUAACUAAAGGAUAAAACUAGAAUAAGUCUGAAACUUCCCUCUUGACUCCAGCAGGUGGGCCUGCAGUGGACGUCAUAUACGUGUUUUUACUGUAAAAAUACUAAAAUGAAGGGAGAAAAGAUCUAAUUUUAACUCCGGUGGAACGUUUCCACUCUAAACGGAGUCCCGUUUUCGCUCUGCUUCGUCCAGCUACUCAAGCUGUGUAAACUUCAGUAAUUAUUACCGGGAACAGUGAAAUAUGAGACGGUAAACAAAACGGGGAAAACCAGAAAGCGUGCUGCCAGUAUUUUGUGGCUGCCGAGAAGUGAAGGGAGAAAAAAA